GCAUCGCCGACCAGACCACGCGCGUCGAGGCCGAGGCGCGUACCGUCGCGGGUGAGGGUGGAGCUCCAGCAGGUCCUUGCCGACGUGCGGGUGCUGGCUGCGCGUCCUCAACGAGCAGCUAGGGCGUACUCAGUCCGAGUAGGCCAAGGAUGACAACAUCGGUAUCCAAGGAUAUCGAGAAGGGCAGCAAUUUUGUGGUUCACUUGAAUUUGUAAUGGAUGUUUUAUGCUCAUCUGAUGGUGUGUAAGGCUGCAAGUCAUUCUCAGGAAAUGCAAGAUUCGCCGGAGACGGGAUUCAGUGACCUCAUUUAGCAUAACUUCUCAGAUGCGAAUAACAAGCAGCUCAAUAACAAGCAUUAGAGAGAAGAAGCUCCAGUACAAAAGUCAGAUAGACUUAAGAAUCAGGAAACUGAAGUCUGAUCUGAAGAAGAUAACAGGCUUCCAGAGAUGUAUUCUGCAACUGGAAAAAUCUGGAAGACAUUGCAGAACAAUACACCUCUGGAAGCCGAGCUCUUCCAGCUCCGCUCGCCGUCCUUUUUCCUGUUACCUUGCUUCAACAUUUACCUCUGGUGUAUUAACUCGGGCUCUCCUUGGAUGCUAUGUGCCAGAAUGGGUAUCUGCACGAGAAGAUCUUCUGGUUGCAUCUUGACUUUGGUUUAGCCAGGGCUUUUGGAAUCCCUGUUCGUACAUUUACUCAAGAGGUAGUAACAUUAUGGUACAAAGCUCCAGAAAUUCUUCUUGGAGCGAGGCAAUAGUCCACACCAGUUGAUGUGUGGUCAGUGGGCUGUAUCUUUGCAGAAAUGGUGAAGCAGAAGCCACUGUUUCCAGGCGAUUCUGAGAUUGAUAAAUUAUUUAAGAUAUUCAGGAUAAAUUACUGGAACUGCUGGGAUUUGGAGUAGAUCCGCAUCUUCUUCUAGAGGAUCAUUGUCUUUUUCGGGUGCUGUACAAUUUAGGCAAACAAUAUUCCUCCUGGGCAUUGGGCUGCGAGUAGGCUGUGAAGAGACACAUGGGAUAGAAGCCACAAGCAAAUGGAAGCCAGUAUGAUGUGUGAUUGUGUUACAGGUCUUGCUUGAUGAACCCUGUUGGUCAGACAAGUAAGAUGGAAGCCAAUUAGAUGAACCAUGUUAGAUGAACCUUGUUGUGUAUUUUAUCUAAUGGUUUCAAACAAUGUUGUUCAUGAUGUGGAGAUGAACACUGUUGGUCAUGGAAGUUAAUUAGAUGCUUGGAUUGUGAAUCCUUGAAUGUUCAAAAUGUUGGUUUCAAACA